rnacentral:rRNA from 1 species
UACCAAAACAUCGCCUUUGAUUAUAAUAAGAGGUCCAGCCUGCCCAGUGAUAAAUUUAACGGCCGCGGUACCCUAACCGUGCAAAGGUAGCAUAAUCACUUGUUCUUUAAAUAAGGACUUGUAUCAACGGCAUCACGAGGGUUCUACUGUCUCCUCUCUCUAAUCGGUGAAACUGAUCUCCCUAUGAAAAAGUGGGGAUAAAAUUAUAAGACGAGAAGACCCCAUGGAGCUUUAAAACCUAUAGCAACCUAGCAAACACUUCCAUUUAGCUAUAAAACUAUGCUCAAGGACUUUAGGUUGGGAGGACCACGGAGCACAAAAUAACCUCCGCAAUGAAAAGAAUAAAAUCUUUACCAAAGAGCCACAACUCCAAGAAUUAGAAAACUAACGUACAAUGACCCGAUAUCGAUCAAUGAACUAAGUUACCCUGGGGAUAACAGCGCAAUCCAUUCUGAGAGUUCAUAUCGACGAACGGGCUUACGACCUCGAUGUUGGAUCAGGGUAUCCUGGUGGUGCAGCCGCUACCGAAGGUUCGUUUGUUCAACGAUUAAAACCUACGUGAUCUGA